rnacentral:lncRNA from 1 species
CAAUGAUCUGUUUAAUAGAGUUCAGAGUUGUUCCAUAAUAAAUAUAAGAAGAGAAGGUGUACUUUGACUGUGUCCCUGCAAAUUGCUUUCCUGACUGAAAUAUGUAUUUCAGUCUGUGUCACAUAACAGUAGAAACGAAAACAGCUGUAAUGGAUUUGAGCUCUUAGUCACCGUGGGUGAAUUUCUGAUACUCUGGAGAUGCAUUGCAAGAGAGAGAGAGACUUCCUUUUCAAGGAUUGCACUCGCUGAUCUGUCCGGAACAAGGGGUAGAUGUGCCUGCACUGCCUUCCUGGGAGCAUCUGCAGUUCCAGCACUUGGUACGUAGUUGAGGGGGACUGUUCAUGUGUCCCCCUGCUACGUUAAUGUAACCUAAAGAUG